rnacentral:rRNA from 1 species
AUUGAACGCUGGCGGCAGGCCUAACACCUGCAAGUCGAGCGAGCGGCCGACGGGUGAGUAAUGUAUGGGGACUGCCCGAUAGAGGGGGCUAACUCCUGGAAACGGUGGCUAAUACCGCAUCAUGUCGGAUAACCCAUAAGGGCUUAGCUAGGAGGUAAGGUAAUGGCUUACCUAGGCGACGAUCCCUAGCUGGUCUGAGAGGAUGAUCAGCCACACUGGGACUGAGACACGGCCCAGACUCCGACGGAGGCAGGAGUGGGGAAUAUUGCACAAUGGGCGCAAGCCUGAUGCAGCCAUGACGCGUGUAUGAAGAAGGCCCUAGGGGUGUAAAGUACUUUCAGUCGGGAUGCGUUACCGACAGAAGAAGCACCGGCUAACUCCGUGCCAGCAGCCGCGGUAAUAC